AUUGAACGCUAGCGGGAUGCCUUACACAUGCAAGUCGAACGGAGUGGCGAACGGGUGAGUAAUGUAUCGGAACGUGCCCAGUAGCGGGGGAUAACUACGCGAAAGCGUAGCUAAUAACGCAUACUAUUGGAGCGGCCGAGAUCGGAUUAGCUAGGUGGUGGGGUAACGGCUCACCAAGGCGACGAUCCGUAGCUGGUUUGAGAGGACGACCAGCCAAACUGGGACUGAGCCACGGCCCAGACUCCUACGGGAGGCAGCAGUGGGGAAUUUUGUACAAUGGGGGAAACCCUGAGCCAGCCAUCCCGCGUGGGCGAUGAAGGCCUUCGGGUUGUAAAGCACUUUUGGCAGGAAAGCGGUACCGGAAUAGAAAGCCACGGCUAACUACGUGCCAGCAGCCGCGGUAAUAC
rnacentral:rRNA from 1 species